AACGAACGUUGGCGGCGUGGAUUAGGCAUGCAAGUCGAACGAGAAAGCCACCUUCGGUGGUUAGUAAAGUGGCGAACGGGUGAGUAACGCGUGGGAAAUCUGCCCUACAGUUGGGGAUAACACUCCUAACGGAGUGCUAAUACCGAAUGAGACCACGAGAUCGCAUGGUCUUGAGGUUGAAGGUGGCCUCUCCUUGGAAGCUACCGCUGCAGGAGGAUCCCGCGUCCCAUUAGCUUGUUGGCAGGGUAACGGCCUACCAAGGCUUCGAUGGGUAGCUGGUCUGAGAGGAUGGUCAGCCACACUGGGACUGAGAUACGGCCCAGACUCCUACGGGAGGCAGCAGUCGAGAGGCUUCGGCAAUGGGGGAAACCCUGACCGAGCGACGCCGCGUGGGCGAUGAAGGUUGUAAGAUCGUAAAGCCCUGUCAGGAGGGAAGAACUGCCAAUGGGCAAACAGGCCAUUGGUUUGACGGUACCUCCUUAGCAAGC
rnacentral:rRNA from 1 species